rnacentral:rRNA from 1 species
UACGUAGGGGGCGAGCGUUGUCCGGAAUCACUGGGCGUAAAGGGUGCGUAGGCGGACUGUUAAGUCUGAUGUGAAAGCCUGUGGCUUAACCAUGGGAUUGCAUUGGAAACUGGGAGUCUUUGAGUGCAGGAGAGGGAAGCGGAAUUCCCGGUGUAGCGGUGGAAUGCGUAGAUAUCGGGAGGAACACCAGUGGCGAAGGCGGCUUCCUGGACUGUAACUGACGCUGAGGCACGAAAGCUGGGGGAGCGAACAGG